CUCAGAAGGAUGGAGUGUGGUACCCAGGGUCAGUCUGCUACUGCAGCACCACAUCAUCCAUCAUUGUGGGACAGGAUGGGGACAACAUCCUGGUGUUCAGAGUGGAAUAGUGUGUACAUUUGCUGCUGAGUCGGGACAAUGAUGCUGAGGAUGUGGGGGACAAGCAUGACGCAGAAGGAGAGCACCAGCAUUGAUAUCGAGUUGGCCAACCAACAGCACCAGUCCGGCCUGCAGGAGCCCCAAUACAAAACGAUCCUUUCCCUCCCCUGAUCCCUAGCUCCUCCCACUGGACCUCCGGCUUCAAAUGGUCAGCAUCGUUACACAAGUCUGUUCUGCAAUAAAUCCUCAGCACGUCAAGUUUUCACGCGCUGUUAUGAACAACUGAAAUGUCUGUGUCGAGAUUUUCCCAAGCAAGCCCGAGUAGUUUUGUUUAGCUCUAGUGCCCGAGUAGGAUGAGUGUUACAGAAGCGAGACGUUAUAGCAGUACUUAUGGUAACGCUAACAGUUAACGCUAACAGUUAGUUCUCGCUGUGGACAUCACGAAGAAUCUCACGAAGAAUGAAACGUUGAAUAAUUUGUUUAAUUCUUUAUAAGACAGCUAUAUAUUCAGCGAGGAACGGGAGCAAAUCAAGGAACAAUCGAGACGAUUCAUUCAGAAGAAUAUCUGCUGUAGAUAGGACAGUAGUAGCGUUACGGACUGUCCUCAGCGCACAAUAUAUUCAUGUGGUGCACCUCAGACGCAAAUUCCCCCCAUUAUUGAAAACAAGUUGCUAAAAGUAAACACGUCCGGUUUUGCACUCCGAGCCCAAACGGCAUCGCAUUGAAUUGAGACUAAAGGAGGCUUAAAAACAUGACACCAGUUUUGUUGUAAGGUACGCCCUUCGACUCUCAACCCGAAGUUUAUCAGAACUCAAACUUGGCCCUUAACAAUAUCUGCAAAGCCAGCAUAUCAGCUCAGCUUCUGAGCUUCAGCAAACACUUUAAGCCGCCAAGAUAAAAACAUUGUUGAAGUGAAAGUAGAUGACUAUCCUGACCCCUUCGCUUAAGUAAUUCAGCACAAAAACGUCUUGCGUCAGAGUAGCAAACCUCCAAACAUCUUCUCCCAUGUUGGCUACAUCAACACUUCUUACAGCGGAGCCUUGACGAGUUUGACUUCCGUCCCAGCAUCGAUGUUGCUUAGCAACAAUUCAAUGCUGGGAAUUGACAAAUUGUUCCAGACGAGUCGCUUACACAGAAACUACUUGAUCCAACAGAUAGAGAAGGCGUUGCGUGACUUGUUCCUUAUUGCGACUGACCUCGAUAAGUUGCUCUCGAAUAAUGUGAACCUUAUGCCAGUAUGUGAUUGACGCCAUUUAACAACAGUUGCUGUUGAGAAUUCCCGGGUUUGAGGUGGCAACUUUGGCGUCGGGACUCGCUCCUUCUCUGUCUAUGGCCCGGUCGAAGCAGCAGCAGCAGCAGCAAUAAGAACAACAAGUAGUAUCUGAGCGGUGCUCUGGGAUACGGGGCUUCAUAGCCUGUUCCUCCUGGUCCAGGACCUUUGGACAAAUGUUCAAAUAGUACUACCCACAGGAUGAAGCCACUCUGAAUCCGGGGCUCCAUACUUUCUUGGCCAGGGGCCAAGACUACCUCGUCAAUAAGCAGAGCACCAGCAUUGAUAUCGAGUUGGCCCAGCAACCGCACCAGUCCCGCCUGCAGGAGCCCCAGUCCAGAACGACCGUUCCCCUCCCUUGACUUCUAACUCCUCUCCCUUGACCGCCUGCCUCAAAAAGUCAGCAUCGUUGAACAACUCCAUUCUGCAGGAAAUUCUGAGCAUGAUUCUGUUCUGAACAAACGCAAUGCCCAUGUCACGUUUUCCAAACAUAAGCCGGGGUAGUUUUGUUAAGCUAGAGUUCCGCGUGGGCCUGAAAGGGACAAGUGUUACAGACACGCAAAGUUAUAGCAGUAGUUAUGGGAACGCUAACAGUCAGUUGUUGCUGUUGGACAUCACAACAAAUAUCAUGAAGAAUAAAAAGUUCAAUAACUUGUUCCAAUCUUUAUGGGACAAACAGAAAUUGAACGGAAGAAAAUCAAGGAACAAUGAAAGCGUAAGCUUUCCUAGUGGGAUACAUCUGCUGCUGAUAGUUUGAACAACAGUAGGGUUACGGACUGCCCCAGAUUGUCCUCUCAGCGGCCUGAAUAUCAUAAUAGAACGGACUUUUGGCAAUAUUUCUGACAAAGAAAGGCAAUAAUGACUUGGUUGUGAAUACCCAGAGCACGAUACAUCCAUGCUGACAAAGAACCCGGUAAUGACUUGGUUGUGAACACCCAGAGCGGGAUACAUCCAUGCUGACGCAGUAAGGCAGUAAUGACUUGGUUGUGAACACCCAGAGCACAAUACAUCCAUGCUGAUACAGAAAGGCAGUAAUGACUUGGUUGUGAACACCCAGAGCACAAUACAUACAUGCUGACACAGAAAGGCAGUAUGACUUGGCUGUGAACACAGAACACAAUACACCCAUGCUGACACAGAAAGGCAGUAAUGACUUGGUUGUGAACACCCAGAGCAAGAUAUUUCCAUGCUGACACAGAAAGGCAGUAAUGACUAUGCUGUGAACACCUUGAGCACAAUACAUCCAUGCUGACACAGAAAGGCAGUAAUGACUUGGUUGUGAACACCCAGAGCACGAUACAUCCAUGCUGACACAGAAAGGCAGUAUGACUUGGCUGUGAACACAGAACACAAUACACCCAUGCUGACACAGAAAGGCAGUAAUGACUUGGUUGUGAACACCCAGAGCAAGAUAUUUCCAUGCUGACACAGAAAGGCAGUAAUGACUAUGCUGUGAACACCUUGAGCAAGAUAUAUCCUUGCUAACUCAUAAAGGCAGUAAUAACUAUGCUGUGAACACCCGGAGCAUAAUACAUCCAUGCUGACACAGAAAGGCAGUAAUGACUAUGUUGUGAACACCCAGAGCAAGAUAUAUCUAUGCUGACACAGAAAGGCAGUAAUGACUAUGCUGUGAACACCCAGAGCACAAUACAUCCAUGCUGAAACAGAAAGGCAGUAAUGACUUGGUUGUGAACACAGAGCACAAUACAUCCUUGUUGACACAGAAAGGCAGUAAUGACUUUGCAGUGAACUCAGAGCACGAUACAUCAAUGCUGACACAGAAAGGCAGUAAUGACUUGGAUGUAAACACCCAGAGCACAAUACAUCCAUGAUUACACAGAAAGGCAGUAAAGACUUGGUUGUAAACACUAAGAUAUCCAUACAUCCAUGGGGUGUGCCACAGACGAAAAUUACGCCCACCAUUUUGAACAAGGUGCUUAAAGUGAACACGUCUGGUUUUGUUAUGAGCACUUAGCACUCCGAGUCCAAAAGGCCUCACAUUGAAUUGAUGCAAGAGAAGGCUUUGAAAAAUAACAGCAGUUUUGUUGUGUGGUCCAGUACGCCCUUCGACUCGCAACCUGAAGAAAGCAGAACUCAAACUCGGCUCUUAGCAAUAUCAGCAAGGUCAGCAUGUCAUCUCAGCUUCUAGAGCUUCAGUGAACUUUACUAGCAAACAUGACAAACGUCAUUGAAAUGAAAGUCGAUGACAACCCCCUUCUUGCACAAAUACUACAACUUGCUUAAGAAAAUCAGCAUGAAGACGUCUUGCGUCAGACUACCAAGCCUCCUAUCAAUAUCUCCUCCCAUAUUGGGUACAUCAAUACUUCCAACAGCAGAGCCUUGGUGAGUUUGACUUCCGUCUCAGCAUCCAUGUCGCUUAGCAACAAUUGAAUGAUGGGCGUCGACAAAUUAGGCCGGACAAGUCGCUCAAACUGAAACGAUCUGAUCCAACAGGUAGAGCAAGCGUUGCGUGACACGUCCGUUAAUGUGACUGACCUCGAUAUGUUGUUCUCGAAUAAUGUGAACCUUAGGCCUGGAGAGCAGUAUGCGAUUGACGCCAUUCAACAACAGUUGUUAUUGGCAAUUCUCAGGUUUGGGGUGGCGACUUCAGCGUCAGGACUUGCUCCAUCUCUGUCUAUGGCCCAGUCCCAGCAGCAGCAGCAGCAACAAGAACAAUAAAGCCGGUUCCUACAGGACCCGAUGCACUGAUUAUGCACAUGUGACUCUUGUACGCAGCUGAAUAAAAGGCUCUCUGGUCAGCUGGACCCGGACGCCAAGGGACACUUCCUGCCCAAGUACCGUGAGGCAAAUGCUCAAUGAGUUCUACCCGAAGUGUGCAGCGUCUCUAGACCUGUGGCUCCAGACUGUCUUACCCAGGGGCCAAGAUUACUUUAUCUGCAAGAGGCCUCAUACUCACAGGUUCCCCAACUACAACUCAGCCACAACAUCCUAAUCGGAAAGUCCUGUUGCCAUGGCAAAACGGGACAACUUGUCAAUCAACAUGGAACAGUUCCCAGAAAAUUAUGACCAUCUAAUGAACUGUGUAACUGCACCAAGCGUGACCCUUCAGGAAAGGGGCUUCCAUGCCGAAGGUCAAAUUGGUACCGAUCUGGGCUCAAGCAGCAGCCUCAGUCGCGGGGGGCAGUGGCCGUUGUUCAGUGUCAAGCGGAAUCCGAGCAACCAAGCCACGUCAGCACAGCAGCAAAAACAGUUUCAGCAGCAGUCGUAUACUAAACAUCAACAACAGUGGUGCAUAUGCAUUAAACUACGAGAGGUAUGAAUGCAAAUAUGUCUUAAACAAGUUGACUGCGUAAUGUGGCAUCAAAGUCUGCAAGGAGAAACCAUGCAAUUGAGGAAGCCAGGAAACCAUGUGAUAAUUUCAAGCAGCUUACCUACUCUUGAAACCCGGAUAGCAAAGCAUUGAGAUUGUUCUGGAAGCAUUUGUAGUCACAGCUCAUUAAGCAUCCCCCUGAAGCAGGACCCUCAGUCUACGGACGCCAAUUGACGAAAUAAAACUUGUCAUUCAGCAACACAGCCAGUUGCAGCAGUUGUUACCAUAUUGACCCCAGUCAAAACUAGGAGCUCAGAGAUAACACAGCCAGUUGCAGCAGUUGUUACCGUAUGGACCCCAGUCAAAACAAGGAGCUCAGAGAUAAAUACUGUUUAAGAUAGAUAUUCUCUACAUUCCUCAUGGUCAGGCAACACAGCCAGUUGCAGCAGUUGUUACCAUAUUGACCCCAGUCAAAACUAGGAGCUCAGAGACAAUCAGCAACACAGCCAGUUGCAGCAGUUGUUACCGUAUGACCCCAGUCAAAACUAGGAGCUCAGAGACAAUCAGCAACACAGCCAGUUGCAGCAGUUGUUACCGUAUGACCCCAGUCAAAACUAGGAGCUCAGAGAUAAAUACUGUUUAAGAUAGAUAUUCUCUACAUUCCUCAUGGUCAGGCAACACAGCCAGUUGCAGCAGUUGUUACCAUCUUGACCCCAGUCAAAACUAAGAGCUCAGAGACAAUCAGCAACACAGCCAGUUGCAGCAGUUGUUACCAUAUUGACCCCAGUCAAAACUAGGAGCUCAGAGAUAACACAGCCAGUUGCAGCAGUUGUUACCAUCUUGACCCCAGUCAAAACUAAGAGCACAGAGACAAUCAGCAACACAGCCAGUUGCAGCAGUUGUUACCAAAUUGACCCCAGUCAAAACUAGGAGCUCAGAAACAAUCAGCAACACAGCCAGUUGCAGCAGUUGUUACCAUAUUGACCCCAGUCAAAAGUAGGAGCUCAGAGAUAGAUCAACACAGCCAGUUGCAGCAGUUGUUACCAUAUUGACCCUAGUCAAAACUAGGAGCAGCAGUUGUUACCAUAUUGACCCCAGUCAAAACUAGGAGCUCAGAGAUAAAUACUGUUUAAGAUAGAUCAACACAGCCAGUUGCAGCAGUUGUUACCAUAUUGACCCCAGUCAAAACUAAGAGCUCAGAGAUAAAAGCUGUUUAAGAUAGAUCAACACAGCCAGUUGCAGCAGUUGUUACCAUAUUGACCCCAGUCAAAACUAGGAGUUCAGAGACAAUCAGCAACACAGCGAGUUGCAGCAGUUGUUACCGUAUGACCCCAGUCAAAACUAAGAGCUCAGAGACAAUCAGCAACACAGGCAGUUGCAGCAGUUGUUACCGUAUGACCCCAGUCAAAACUAGGAGCUCAGAGACAAUCAGCAACACAGCCAGUUGCAGCAGUUGUUACCGUAUGACCCCAGUCAAAACUAGGAGCUCAGAGACAAUCAGCAACACAGAAAGUUGCAGCAGUUGUUACCGUAUGAUCCCAGUCAAAACUAAGAGCUCAGAGACAAUCAGCAACACAGCAAGUUGCAGCAGUUGUUACCAUAUUGACCCCAGUCAAAACUAAGAGCUCAGAGACAAUCAGCAACACAGCCAGUUGCAGCAGUUGUUACCGUAUGACCCCAGUCAAAACUAAGAGCUCAGAGACAAUCAGCAACACAGCCAGUUGCAGCAGUUGUUACCAUAUUGACCCCAGUCAAAACUAAGAGCUCAGAGACAAUCAGCAACACAGCCAGUUGCAGCAGUUGUUACCAUAUUGACCCCAGUCAAAACUAGGAGCUCAGAGACAAUCAGCAACACAGCCAGUUGCAGCAGUUGUUACCGUAUGACCCCAGUCAAAACUAAGAGCUCAGAGACAAUCAGCAACACAGCCAGUUGCAGCAGUUGUUACCAAAUUGACCCCAGUCAAAACUAGGAGCUCAGAGACAAUCAGCAACACAGCCGGUUGCAGCAGUUGUUACCAUAGUGACCCCAGUCAAAACUAGGAGCUCAGAGAUAAAUACUGUUUAAGAUAGAUAUUCUCUACAUUCCUCAUGGUCAGGCAACACAGCCAGUUGCAGCAGUUGUUACCGUAUUGACCCCAGUCAAAACUAGGAGCACAGAGACAAUCAGCAACACAGCCAGUUGCAGCAGUUGUUACCAAAUUGACCCCAGUCAAAACUAGGAGCUCAGAAACAAUCAGCAACACAGCCAGUUGCAGCAGUUGUUACCAUAUUGACCCCAGUCAAAACUAGGAGCUCAGAGAUAGAUCAACACAGCCAGCUGCAGCAGUUGUUACCAUAUUGACCCUAGUCAAAACUAGGAGCAGCAGUUGUUACCAUAUUGACCCCAGUCAAAACUAGGAGCUCAGAGAUAAAUACUGUUUAAGAUAGAUCAACACAGCCAGUUGCAGCAGUUGUUACCAUAUUGACCCCAGUCAAAACUAAGAGCUCAGAGAUAAAAGCUGUUUAAGAUAGAUCAACACAGCCAGUUGCAGCAGUUGUUACCAUAUUGACCCCAGUCAAAACUAGGAGCUCAGAGACAAUCAGCAACACAGCAAGUUGCAGCAGUUGUUACCGUAUGACCCCAGUCAAAACUAAGAGCUCAGAGACAAUCAGCAACACAGCAAGUUGCAGCUGUUGUUACCAUAUUGACCCCAGUCAAAACUAAGAACUCAGAGACAAUCAGCAACACAGCCAGUUGCAGCAGUUGUUACCGUAUGACCCCAGUCAAAACUAAGAGUUCAGAGACAAUCAGCAACACAGCCAGUUGCAGCAGUUGUUACCAUAUUGACCCCAGUCAAAACUAAGAGCUCAGAGACAAUCAGCAACACAGCCAGUUGCAGCAGUUGUUACCAUAUUGACCCCAGUCAAAACUAGGAGCUCAGAGACAAUCAGCAACACAGCCAGUUGCAGCAGUUGUUACCGUAUGACCCCAGUCAAAACUAAGAGCUCAGAGACAAUCAGCAACACAGUCAGUUGCAGCAGUUGUUACCAUAUUGACCCCAGUCAAAACUAGGAGCUCAGAGAUAAUCAGCAACACAGCCAGUUGCAGUAGUUGUUACCAUAUUGACCCCAGUCAAAACUAGGAGCUCAGAGACAAUCAGCAACACAGCCAGUUGCAGCAGUUGUUACCAAAUUGACCCCAGUCAAAACUAGGAGCUCAGAGACAAUCAGCAACACAGCCUGUUGCAGCAGUUGUUACCGUAUGACUCCAGUCAAAACUAGGAGCUCAGAGACAAUCAGCAACACAGUCAGUUGCAGCAGUUGUUACCAUAUUGACCCCAGUCAAAACUAAGAGCUCAGAGACAAUCAGCAACACAGCCAGUUGCAGCAGUUGUUACCGUAUUGACCCCAGUCAAAACUAGGAGCUCAGAGACAAUCAGCAACACAGCCAGUUGCAGCAGUUGUUACCAAAUUGACCCCAGUUACAAUUAGGAGCUCAGAGACAAUCAGCAACACAGCCAUUUGCAGCAGUUGUUACCGUAUGACCCCAGUCAAAACUAGGAGCUCAGAGAUAAAUACUGUUUAAGAUAGAUAUUCUCUACAUUCCUCAUGGUAUUUUAAGCACAAACUCUGACAGAUCUCAUCUUUGAACUUUGUAACGGGCGAAAAAUAAAUGACCUUGUUCAGAAUGAAAUGGCAGAAUGACAAAGCACAACAAUUUAAGGGGAAACCAUAAAUUAAUGUAACCAGCAAAGAUGUGUUCAAAGCAAAACAAUAUGUCAUGUCUUUGGGGACUGAAUUUUGAUGGUGUCAUUCAUUAAACAUUGAAUAUUUUUGUUAAAUAUAGUUAAAUAUAAUGAUAUAAAGGAUAUUUGAUUAAGGCGUGUAUGUUAAUUAUUACUUUAAGCACAAAUAUAGCACGUCUAUCAAUUACUUAUGAAACUUGCACCUGAUAAUGAUAAAUGCAUGAAAAUUAAAUUGUACUUAAGACAUUAUUUCAUACGUUGAGCUUAAGAAAAUUGAAAGCUGUUUAAAUUAUGCUGGUAACAUUAUAUACAAAAUAUGUAUUGGAUUAUAUUCAUGUAAAAAACAAG